GGAUUAGGCAUGCAAGUCGAACGAAUCAUAGCAGCUUGCUGCUGUGGUUAGUGGCGGAAGGGUUAGGAAUGCAUGGGUAACCUGCCUUUAACUUGGGGAUAACGGUUGGAAACGACCGCUAAUACCGAAUGUGGUGGGGUGCGGCAUCGCACCUUCAUUAAAGUGGGGGAUCGUAAGACCUCGCGGUUAAAAAAGGGCCCAUGCGAUAUCAGCUUGUUGGUGAGGUAAUGGCUCACCAAGGCUAAGACGUCUAGGCGGGUUGAGAGAUUGACCGCCAACACUGGGACUGAGACACUGCCCAGACUCCUACGGGAGGCUGCAGUCGAGAAUCAUUCGCAAUGGGCGAAAGCCUGACGAUGCGACGCUGCGUGAACGAUGAAGGCCCUCGGGUCGUAAAGUUCUUUCGCUUGGGAACAAGAGAUGGAUGCUAACAUCAUUCAAAUUUGAGGGUACCAAGUAAAGAAGCACCGGCUAACUACGUGCCAGCAGCCGCGGUAAGACGUAGGGGGCGAGCGUUGUCCGGAUUUACUGGGCGUAAAGAGCGCGUAGGCGGCUAGUUAAGUGAGAAGUGAAAUCUCCAGGGCUCAACCCGGAAACUGCUUUUCAUACUGGCCAGCUGGAGGGACGCAGGGGUGACUGGAAUUCCCGGUGUAGCGGUGAAAUGCAUUGAUAUCGGGAGGAACUCCAACAGCGAAGGCAGGUCACUGGGCGUUUCCUGACGCUGAGGCGCGAAAGCGUGGGUGGCAAACAGGAUUAGAUACCCUGGUAGUCCACGCCCUAAACGAUGGAUACUAGACGUAAGAGGUAUCGACCCCUCUUGUGUCGCAGCUAACGCAUUAAGUAUCCCGCCUGGGGAGUACGGCCGCAAGGUUGAAACUCAAAUGAAUUGACGGGGACCCGCACAAGCGGUGGAGCAUGUGGAUUAAUUCGAUACUAACCGAAGAACCUUACCCAGGUUUGACAUCGAUGGUAAGCCCGAGAGAUCGGGCCCUCUCUCACAAGGAGACCUGAAGACAGAUGUUGCAUGGCUGUCGUCAGCUCGUGCCGUGAGGUGUACGGUUAAGUCCGCCAACGAGCGCAACCCUCGUCCUAUGUUGCCAGCGAGUAAUGUCGGGAACUCAUAGGAGACCGCCGGUGUAAGCCGGAGGAAGGUGGGGAUGAUGUCAAGUCAGCAUGGCUCUUACGCCUGGGGCUUCACACAUGCUACAAUGGGCGCAACAAAGGGCACCGAAGCCGUGAGGUGGAGGCAAUCCCAAAAAUACGCCCCCAGUUCAGAUUGCAGUCUGCAACUCGACUGCAUGAAGGCGGAAUCGCUAGUAAACGCAGGUCAGCUAUACUGCGUUGAAUACGUUCCCGGGUCUUGUACACACCGCCCGUCAAGUCACCUGAAUUGUCUUCACCCGAAGUCCGUGGCCUAACCGUAAGGAGGGAGCGGCCGAAGGUGAGGGGAGUAAGGGGGACUAAGUCGUAACAAGGU
rnacentral:rRNA from 1 species